rnacentral:rRNA from 1 species
GAUGAACGCUGUCGGCGUGCCUAAUACAUGCAAGUCUAGCGAACAGACCAGGAGCUUGCUCCUCUGAUGUUAGCGUCGGACUGGUUAGUAACACGUGGAUAACCUAUCUAUAUGACUGUGAUAACUUCGGUAAACCUUAUCUAAUACCGCAUAAUAUAUUGAACUGCAUGGUUCAAUUUUGAAAGACUUUUUUUCUGUCUCUUAUAGCUGGAUCCUCUCCUCUUUAUCUAGUUGGUAAGGGAACGGCUUACCAAGGCAACGAUGCGUAGCCGUCCUGAAAGGGUGAUCGGCAUAACUGGAAUGAAGACAAGCUCCAAACUCCUGCGGGAGGCAGCAGUAGGGAGUCUUCCGCAGUGCGCGCAAGCCUGACGGAGCAAUGCGAUGUGUGUCAUGAAGGUCUUCGGCACGUAAAACUCUAUUAUUCGGGCAAAAAAAAUGUGUCAGUAAAUAUGCACCCCUUGACGGUACCUAAUCAGAAAGAUACGGCUAACUACGUG